CCUACGGGUGGCAGCAGUGAGGAAUAUUGGUCAAUGGACGAAAGUCUGAACCAGCCAAGUAGCGUGAAGGAUGACUGCCCUAUGGGUUGUAAACUUCUUUUAUAUGGGAAUAAAGCGAUGCACGUGUGCCUUUUUGCAUGUACUUUAUGAAUAAGGAUCGGCUAACUCCGUGCCAGCAGCCGCGGUAAUACGGAGGAUACGAGCGUUAUCCGGAUUUAUUGGGUUUAAAGGGAGCGUAGGUGGGUUGUUAAGUCAGUUGUGAAAGUUUGGGGCUCAACCGUAAAAUUGCCAUUGAUACUGGAAGUCUUGAGUACAGUUGAGGUAGGCGGAAUUCGUGGUGUAGCGGUGAAAUGCAUAGAUAUCACGCAGAACCCCGAUUGCGAAGGCAGCUUACUAAACUGUGACUGACACUGAUGCACGAAAGCGUGGGUAUCAAACAGGAUUAGAUACCCGUGUAGUC
rnacentral:rRNA from 1 species